rnacentral:rRNA from 1 species
ACAGGGAUUGCCUCAGUAACGGCGAGUGAAGCGGCAAAAGCUCAAAUUUGAAAUCCCCCGGGAAUUGUAAUUUGAAGGUGGCCUCAGUUAGUCCAAACAUUCUUAAGUCCAUUGGAAAAUGGCGCCAUGGAGGGUGAUAGCCCCGUAAAGAUGUCGUUUGUUCUAUUUUCUCUGGCCACCAAAGAGUCGAGUUGUUUGGGAAUGCAGCUCUAAGUGGGUGGUAAAUUCCAUCUAAAGCUAAAUAUUGGCGAGAGACCGAUAGCGAACAAGUACAGUGAUGGAAAGAUGAAAAGCACUUUGAAAAGAGAGUGAAAAAGUACGUGAAAUUGUUGAAAGGGAAGGGCUUGCAAGCAGACACAACCUCGUGUUGGGCCAGCAUCGGGGCGAGAGGAAGUAAAAACGAUUUGGAAAUGUAACUUUCGAGUAUUAUAGACCUUAUCCCUCCCUUCCAUCUCAUCCCGAGGCCUGCGGU